rnacentral:lncRNA from 1 species
UUAGAAAUGAGUAUUGGGCCUAACUCAUCCCUACAAAACCGGCUUGUAAGGUGAGGAUUGCCUCUAGUAUAUAAACACUUAGUCAGGCCAUCUCUCAACCGAUGUGGGACUCUUAACACACCCCCUCACGCCCAGCACUAUUGGGCUUGGUGCGUGGAUAUAAACGGUAGGUGGCCCGAUAGCGGAAACCUGAUAACAGGUGGCCCAACGGAUCGUGGAGAGGCUCUGAUACCAUCUUAGAA